AUACGUAGGGGGCGAGCGUUGUCCGGAAUGACUGGGCGUAAAGGGCGUGUAGGCGGCGGUGUAAGUCUGGAGUGAAAGUCCCGCAUUCAAUGUGGGAAUUGCUUUGGAUACUGCAGUGUUAGAGUGCGGAGGAGGUAAGUGGAAUUCCCAGUGUAGCGGUGAAAUGCGUAGAGAUUGGGAGGAACACCAGUGGCGAAGGCGACUGAAGGGGCCGUAACUGACGCUGAGGCGCGAAAGCGUGGGGAGCGAACAGGAUUAGAUCCACUGGUAGUCCACGCAGUAAACGAUGAUAACUAACAGCUGGGUCGUAGUGAUUCAGUGGCCAAGCGAAAGCUAUAAGUUAUCCACCUGGGGAGUACGACCGCAAGGUUGAAACUCAAAUGAAUUGACGGGG
rnacentral:rRNA from 1 species